CUUGCUUCUCUUGAGAGCGGCGGACGGGUGAGUAAUGCCUAGGAAUCUGCCUGGUAGUGGGGGAUAACGCUCGGAAACGGACGCUAAUACCGCAUACGUCCUACGGGAGAAAGCAGGGGACCUUCGGGCCUUGCGCUAUCAGAUGAGCCUAGGUCGGAUUAGCUAGUUGGUGAGGUAAUGGCUCACCAAGGCGACGAUCCGUAACUGGUCUGAGAGGAUGAUCAGUCACACUGGAACUGAGACACGGUCCAGACUCCUACGGGAGGCAGCAGUGGGGAAUAUUGGACAAUGGGCGAAAGCCUGAUCCAGCCAUGCCGCGUGUGUGAAGAAGGUCUUCGGAUUGUAAAGCACUUUAAGUUGGGAGGAAGGGCAGUAAAUUAAUACUUUGCUGUUUUGACGUUACCGACAGAAUAAGCACCGGCUAACUCUGUGCCAGCAGCCGCGGUAAUACAGAGGGUGCAAGCGUUAAUCGGAAUUACUGGGCGUAAAGCGCGCGUAGGUGGUUCGUUAAGUUGGAUGUGAAAUCCCCGGGCUCAACCUGGGAACUGCAUUCAAAACUGUCGAGCUAGAGUAU
rnacentral:rRNA from 1 species